GGCACGGUAGCCAAGUGGUAAGGCAGGGGACUGCAAAUCCCCGAUCCCGGGUUCGAUUCCCGGUCGUGCCU
rnacentral:tRNA from 1 species